rnacentral:misc_RNA from 1 species
CACAGUAUACACACACACAGACACAGAGAAAAGUGACCAGGGGCGGGGGGCUCGUGUCGCAUCUUUGCUAUCCCUCUCGUCGCCCUCCCUCUGUCCAUCUCGCAUCAUCUUCCGUUGAUUUUGUGCGGUGCAGAUACACAUGCACACACAUACACACACGCAUAAAUACAGCCAGCAGCUCCAGAACGCCAACACUCCACGUGAGAGCCCCGCUGCCCCCCCCCUCCCUCCGCUCCAAAGAGAAGGAAAGGAGAGGUCAGCAUCAGCAGCGCGUGUCACGUUCUCCGUCGGCUGCCUCGUCUUCGCUCCUCCGGAUCGCCUAGGUCCAUACGUACGUGGGGUGGGGAGCGAUGGGGAGCGGCAAGAAAAGCGCAGGGCAGGCACACCCACACGCACACACACACCGCGCCCUUAUCAUCUCUCUCGCGUUCUUGUUUUUCUGGUGCCCUUAAAAGAUACUUGUACACACGCAUAGACAUACAUGCGCACGCGUGCGCGUCUUGAACGGCCGCCUCCCACCCCUCCUCUCCCGGCCUCGCACACACGCAACGCCGAUGCCCGGCGUGCCAGACAAGAUACUGGUAGGCCCCACCACGUACGUGCACCUCCGCCGCAAGCACAGGGACUACUACGUGCCGAACUUUCUCUGCGGCGCCGAUGGGAAGUCAACAUCGCCGCGAUUGCCGGACGAUAGUGAGCACGUGUGGCGCUACAGCGUGUCGAAGGCGCACCACAACACCGUUUUCUUUUUCAAUGCGGUAACGCGCAAGUCCGUGUGGGUGCUCCCGGUUGUACACCGCGAUGGCCGCACGGAGCCGCUGGGCGAGGGUGAGGCGAUGCGAGCCAUCUACUCCGAUAUCGUCGCCGAUGGUGUUGAGGCGAUACCAGAGGCGACGCUCAGCAGACUCACCAAAGCGCGCGUGCAUAAGGAAAAAAGCAUGGACGCUCGCGGCAAGCUCGAUAUUGACGUCACCGACUCACUCAGUUCAACACCUAAAUUGGUGUCAGCCGUCGCGGGCCAAUCAAAGUCGACGGGGGCUCGCUCUCCUGGCGAUCCCCCCUCGGAGACGGCGGCUCCACAUGCUGCAGGGCCAUCUAACGACUCUGCCGCAGCGCUACAGGUGGUUACACGAGAACGAGUGCACGCAUCAGGGCUGCGGGCACGUGAAGCAGAGGCGCAGCGCACCUCGGCUGCGCCGAGUGCGAUAGCCGAGAGAGAGCACCACAGGCCAACAUUGCAGGACCGGCUCGCUGCUUGGCGGGCCCGCCAGCACGACCCGGUAUCGCCAGCAGAAGGUCCGCACCACCACCAGCAGCAGCCAGCCUCGACUGCCGGGGGCCCAACGGCGGCGACGACGGAGACGCCCUCAGUUGUUGUCAAAGACCCGUAUGCAUACACGAUAUCGUCCACAAUGCCGACAGACAAGAAGUGCGAGUCCUCGAGCGCGGAAGGUGCCCUACAUACAAAGGAGAACGAGGCGCUGCCGCGCACGCCGGACGCGACGCAGGGCCACUCGCUCAUGCACACCCAGGCUUCAGCAGCCGCCUUCGCCUCUACCGACCCCGAGAGCGUGCUGCACGCGCCGGUGCCAAAGCAGGCUCAGUCACGCGAGAACAUCACCACCGCACCACCGGCCAAUGUAACAGCGCCAGCCAUCCAGGAGAGAGAGCUCGCGAGAGCCGCAGCACUUCUUCAUCAAGAGAAAAUCGCCGCCAUGCAGCAAGAGAUGGCAGCACUGGAAUCUCGACGCCGUGCACUGGCGGUGGAGCAGGCGGAGGCGGAGGAGCGCGCGCGUCUAGCGCAGGCACGCGCCGCCGCCGAGCGUGCACGCUUGGAAGAGAUCGAACGGACUACACGUGAGCAGGCGCAGCGACGCGCCGCCAUGGACGCGUCUGCCGCGGCUGAGCUGCGUGUACAGAACGUGAACGAGUACUUGUCGAAACAGCGGCAGCUGCAGGAGGCAGCGCAGUCCGCUGUAGCAGACUCGUUCACGUACGCCUCUCGUAUCGCCGCGCAGCUCGUCGCUGCGGCCCCCCGGCCAGAGAAUGUCUACAUCCCCGUCAAGGGCAAACCUAGCAAAUCGGGUGGUGAAGCGAGCGCGCUGCUCACACCGCCUGACUUCCGUGCCCAUCAAGUUGGUCGGGUGACGCCGGCCGCUGCAGGACCUCCAGCUGCGUCGCCAGUGGCAGGGGAGCCGGGCCUUCGGGCAGAGGCGAAGAAAGAGAGCGGUGGUACCUCCGUGGGAGCGCAGCGUGGCUCCCUGACCGUUGCGCCUACCUCGACUGGCGCGGCAACCGCUCAGCGCCGCCAGGGACGCCUUGCCUAUGCGUUGCCACACCUGUACGAGGGUGAGGUCAUCACCUACCGCCCGAGCAGCAGCUUUACCCGCCAGGCAGUCCUGAACGACCGUGCCGCCGCGAUCGAGAACCAGCCUCCUCGAGCGCUCAGCUCUUCAGCAGCAGGGCUCACCACACCUCUUAUCUUGGCAGCCAAGCGCGAUGGCACUGGCACGCAGUACUACGACGCGGCCCACCAGCACUUCUUCCACGGCACCUGGCGUGAGGACAAACGAGACGGCGCUGGGGUGCUGUCGCUGCCAACCACGGCGGUGCAGGGAGGCUGGCGCGGCGACCAGCUCGUCGGUCCCGCCAUUGUGCAAACGCGGCACAGCAAAGGAGCAGCCACUUUCGCCUCCGGGAGGCCCGCCGGCAGCUUACAGGCGCCCGGCACGGGCCCUACGGACACCUCGUCGCGUGACAACGGCGCACUGCCGUCCACGGCCUCGCACACGUCGCGCACCGCAGCCGGCACGACCACGCUGACUGGCAACGCCGUCAUGGAGCUGGACAACAAGGCGCUCUUCGUCGGUGCGCUCGAGGAGGGUCGAGUACGUGCACCGUAUGUCCUUCAGCUGGGCCAGGGCGACUACAUUGAGUGGCUUGGCGCUCCCGCGCGCCGGGGAGGAUGGGCUCGCUCGCCCGCCGGCGCAUCAGGAGAGCUGGUAAAGCACACCCCUGCACAUGCCCCCUCCUCUUCCUCGGCCCCCGCUUCGAAGGCUGGCACCGGUGAGUGCCGUAUCCGCUUCCGCAACGACGACACCUACGUUGGGCACGUCUGCAACUUUCAACUUCACGGCUUCGGCUACUACCGCUUCGCCGAGGACGCGCACUCCUACACCGGCCGUUUUGAGGCCGGCCUGCCGCACGGGGAGGGGCUGCUGAUCUUUGCAAACGGAGACGUGUACCGCGGCGGCUUCGCGAAGGGGCUCUUCGACGGCCACGGCACGUACGCCUCGCACACGGGGCACUACGUGUACGAGGGGGACUGGGUGGCCGGAAAGAUGAACGGUCAGGGCACGCUGGCCUUUGCCAAUGGUGAUGUAUGGAAAGGCACUUUCAGGGACGACACGCGCGUGGUUGGCGCAUACACGACGCUAGCGUAAAGCGCGGUGCGAGGGGGCUGGCGAUCAUUUAUGCAUGGCCCCCCCCCCACCCACCCACCUCACCCUCUCCAGGUGUGACGGGUAGCGGUUGACCCUCGAGCUGUGGCGGUGCAUGUCCCUCUGUCCUGCUGCACCUCUCGCCUUUCUCCAACAAUUGACGAGCGCGCGCCUUCGAAAGCCUCACCGUGUUCUGCUCUUCACGCUGGAGGCAAGCAAAGGUGUUCAACGGGAGAAAAAG